GGGGGAGCCAAACUGGCAGUCGAGCGAGCUUGCCUAGAUGAUUUUAGUGCUUGCACUAAAUGAAACUAGAUACAAGCGAGCGGCGGACGGGUGAGUAACACGUGGGUAACCUGCCCAAGAGACUGGGAUAACACCUGGAAACAGAUGCUAAUACCGGAUAACAACACUAGACGCAUGUCUAGAGUUUGAAAGAUGGUUCUGCUAUCACUCUUGGAUGGACCUGCGGUGCAUUAGCUAGUUGGUAAGGUAACGGCUUACCAAGGCAAUGAUGCAUAGCCGAGUUGAGAGACUGAUCGGCCACAUUGGGACUGAGACACGGCCCAAACUCCUACGGGAGGCAGCAGUAGGGAAUCUUCCACAAUGGACGAAAGUCUGAUGGAGCAACGCCGCGUGAGUGAAGAAGGGUUUCGGCUCGUAAAGCUCUGUUGGUAGUGAAGAAAGAUAGAGGUAGUAACUGGCCUUUAUUUGACGGUAAUUACUUAGAAAGUCACGGCUAACUACGUGCCAGCAGCCGCGGUAAUACGUAGGUGGCAAGCGUUGUCCGGAUUUAUUGGGCGUAAAGCGAGUGCAGGCGGUUCAAUAAGUCUGAUGUGAAAGCCUUCGGCUCAACCGGAGAAUUGCAUCAGAAACUGUUGAACUUGAGUGCAGAAGAGGAGAGUGGAACUCCAUGUGUAGCGGUGGAAUGCGUAGAUAUAUGGAAGAACACCAGUGGCGAAGGCGGCUCUCUGGUCUGCAACUGACGCUGAGGCU
rnacentral:rRNA from 1 species